rnacentral:rRNA from 1 species
GCUACACGAAGAACCUUUACAGGGUUUGACAUGUAAGUGGUAGUGAUCUGAAAAGUGAACGACCCUUCGGGGAGCUUACACAGGUGCUGCAUUGGCUGUCGUCAGCUCGUGUCGUGAGAUGUUCGGUUAAGUCCGCUAACGAGCGCAACCCUCACUGUGUGUUAUACGUGUCACACGGGACUGCCGGUUUUUAAGCCGGAGGAAGGCGAGGAUGACGUCAAGUCAGCAUGGCCCUUAUAUCCUGGGCUACACACACGCUACAAUGGUCUGUACAACAGGUUGCCAAACCGCGAGGUGGAGCCAAUCCCUAAAACAGGCCUCAGUUCAGAUUGCAGGCUGCAACCCGCCUGCAUGAAGCCGGAGUUGCUAGUAACCGCAGGUCAGCUAUACUGCGGUGAAUACGUUCCCGGGUCUU